CAAUAGCGUAUAUUAAAGUUGUUGCGGUUAAAAAGCUCGUAGUUGGAUUUCUGCCGAGGACGACCGGUCCGCCCUCCGGGUGAGUAUCUGGCUCGGCCUGGGCAUCUUCUUGGAGAACGUAGCUGCACUUGGCUGUGUGGUGCGGUAUUCAGGACUUUUACUUUGAGGAAAUUAGAGUGUUUCAAGCAGGCACACGCCUUGAAUACAUUAGCAUGGAAUAAUAAGAUAGGACCUCGGUUCUAUUUUGUUGGUUUCUAGAUCUGAGGUAAUGAUUAAUAGGGAUAGUUGGGGGCAUUCGUAUUUAACUGUCAGAGGUGAAAUUCUUGGAUUUGAUAAAGACGGACUACUGCGAAAGCAUUUGCCAAGGAUGUUUUCAUUGA
rnacentral:rRNA from 1 species